GAGAAAUACAUCUGAUACAUACAUAAUAUCUGUAACUGCCACCCAGGGGAUCUUAUGAUGUUAUGAAGGAUUUUGACACCAGGGAUUUGGGGGAAGAGGUAAAACCAGAUGCAUUUGUACCCAUCAGAAUUACCUUCAAUCUUCUAGACUCAGUUCAUUUUCUGGGCCACCUGAGAUAUCACACUGAAAAUGAAAAUUGCUUUAGGAUCUUCUAUUGGUCUGACAUAGAUGUGAUCCCUCAACACAGUUUUGAAUGGUAGCAGGGGAAGUUUAACCCUAGUGCAAUAGCAGUGGAAAACCUGGAAGGAGAACACUAAUUGGAACCUACGCCAUCUUAUAUUAAAAUGAAAAUUGAAGGAACCAUGAAAGGAAAUAAAUGCUAAAAUUUUUUAUUUGAAAUU